rnacentral:rRNA from 1 species
AUUGAACGCUGGCGGCAUGCCUUACACAUGCAAGUCGAACGGCAGCACGGGAGCAAUCCUGGUGGCGAGUGGCGAACGGGUGAGUAAUAUAUCGGAACGUGCCCAGUCGUGGGGGAUAACGCAGCGAAAGCUGUGCUAAUACCGCAUACGAUCUAUGGAUGAAAGCGGGGGAUCGCAAGACCUCGCGCGAUUGGAGCGGCCGAUAUCAGAUUAGCUAGUUGGUGGGGUAAAGGCCCACCAAGGCGACGAUCUGUAGCUGGUCUGAGAGGACGACCAGCCACACUGGAACUGAGACACGGUCCAGACUCCUACGGGAGGCAGCAGUGGGGAAUUUUGGACAAUGGGCGCAAGCCUGAUCCAGCAAUGCCGCGUUCAGGAUGAAGGCCUUCGGGUUGUAAACUGCUUUUGUACGGAACGAAACGGUCCUUUCUAAUACAGGGGGCUAAUGACGGUACCGUAAGAAUAAGCACCGGCUAACUACGUGCCAGCCGCCGCCGUAAGAC